GACGAACGCUGGCGGCGUGCCUAAUACAUGCAAGUAGAACGCUGAAGGAGGAGCUUGCUUCUCUGGAUGAGUUGCGAACGGGUGAGUAACGCGUAGGUAACCUGCCUGGUAGCGGGGGAUAACUAUUGGAAACGAUAGCUAAUACCGCAUAAUAGUAGAUGUUGCAUGACAUUUGCUUAAAAGGUGCAAUUGCAUCACUACCAGAUGGACCUGCGUUGUAUUAGCUAGUUGGUGGGGUAACGGCUCACCAAGGCGACGAUACAUAGCCGACCUGAGAGGGGGAUCGGCCACACUGGGACUGAGACACGGCCCAGACUCCUACGGGAGGCAGCAGUAGGGAAUCUUCGGCAAUGGACGGAAGUCUGACCGAGCAACGCCGCGUGAGUGAAGAAGGGUUUCGGAUCGUAAAGCUCUGUUGUAAGAGAAGAACGAGUGUGAGAGUGGAAAGUUCACACUGUGACGGUAUCUUAACAGAAAGGGACGGCUAACUACGUG
rnacentral:rRNA from 1 species